GGAGAAGGUCAGAGAGUGAAUUCCAAGGUGCUACAUUUGUAGCAUGGGGGUGAAGGUGUACAAGGUGUAGCAUUUGUAGCUACCCCGUAUUUCCCACAAGGGUAGCAUGUCCUGCACUCCAUCAGUAGCCAAGGAAGGCCUCCCCAAGGAGGUGACAUUUGAGCAGAGACCAGUGAAAUGAGAAAGUAAGUAAAUGAGGGAGAGCAGCAAGUGCAAAGGCUGUGGGGUGAAAACAAAUGUGGCAUGUUCUAGGACCUGCAAGUAGACCCUCGUGACAGGGAAAGUGAACAGAGAAGAGAGUGCUAGCAGAUGAGGUUGGAUGACUGGGCAGGUAUCUUGAAGGUCAUGCCAAGGAGUCUGCAUUUUAUGCUAGGUGGGAUGGGAAGCCAUGGGAGAGCUUUGAGCAGGGGAGCGACAGGCUCUGAUUAGGUUUGGACUAGGCUCCUUCUGGUUGCAGGGUAGAGACCAGAAUCGAGGAAGAUCGGAGUGGAAGAAAAUGGAGCUGGUGUCUCAGUGAAGACAUGCCCAGAGAUGCCCAAAGAUGCCCAAUGGAUGAGCUGCUGCAACCUGUCUCAGCCAUGGGGGAUGGGAGAGGAAAGUGGAGAAAGGACAAAAAAAAAAAAAAACGAGUAGAGAGAAAAGAAGUGAAUAUGUAAUGCAAAAAUUAAAAUUACCUGAUAAGUCAGGACAUGGGAAGUUCUGCCUCCCUAAUGGGGACCCAGGAAGAUGUAGGAAGAGAAGUAAAGCCACUUUCUAAGGACAUGGAGAAAUUCAGAACACCAAGCCGCCCAGGUUUCCUGGCUCCCAGUCUUGGCACACAGUGCUCCACCUUGCUGGGUAAUUCAGUACGUGGCCAUAAGAAACCCGUGACACCCUCCCCUGGAACUGUACCCACGUCCCACACGGACAGAUGCUUCACUCCUCCACUUCUUGGCAGUACUUCCUACAGCCCCUGGGUGAACUUCUCCAGCUGGCUGUGAUCGACCUCCAGAGGGCAUGACCGUGGCUGAGACUCAGCUUUUCAUGUUCCCAGCUCUGGCUUAGGGAGUCACCCCAAGGAAGCAGCAGAUUAAGGAGAAAUGUGGACGCAUCCUUCCUGAGUGUUGGUUCCCCCAGAGAGAUGACAGACCCCAUGGCCAGCACUUCAACAUAUAUUGAGCUGUGGGAAUUAGAAUCUAGGACAAUUUGGGAGAAAAAAGGCUUUUGUCUUUAAGGCGUUUACAGCUUAAGGAGAGGAUAUCAUAUUCCAUAGCUGUGACAAAUCAAAAAAUUAAAAGUAGUCUUUCCAAGGAUGGUUUCAGUAGUUUAGCCCUAAGGAGUGAGGAAUUUGUUUGGUUAGACAUACUGAAGAUGGAGACUAUACUUCUGAGAAUAAGCCUAAAGACUGUGAGUCUCGAAAGCCAAUUUACACACCACGCAGAAAACUGACGGGUCUCAGGAAAACUAAAAUGAGGAAAGCCAGCAGAGGCCCAGGCAGACGUCAAAUUAAUCUCUAGAAACAGAGGACAAUCUGCUUUGGCUUGGCAAAAAUUAAAAUAGAACUUAGUUGAGCUUCAGUGUGAAUGGAGGUGGGGAGAGUUCCUUCCUUUCUGUUGAUGGGAUGUAAAACCCUCACUAGCCAACAAGCUCCCCCAGGAAAGACAAUGCCACAUGCCUUCAUUGCCCUGGUGAGUUGUGGGAUGUCUGUCCCUCAGCAGGGUCUCAGUUACUGUGUGUUGAAUGAAUGAUGGAUCCAAUAGAAGAAAAAAGAAGUGAAAAGAAUGACUGGAUAAAGCCCCAUUCCAGCCCAUGUUCCCCUGAUAACAGUAAUAAAAUGAAGGACAGACUGGACUGAAUUAUUACGGGCCCUGGAGUGACUUUCUUUGAAGCUGGUGUCCACUCACUCUUUCUCUCCAGAGCUUUGGCCAGCUAGCCCCAGAAAUCUUCCAGUGGCCCAUCAGAGAGCAAGCUGGCAGAGCUGUCACUCCCGCCAUGGAAGUCAGCACAUAAAACAUUCUACUGUGGAAAUCAGAAAAAGCAAGAUUAUCUUAGGAGAAACACAAUCUCUCGUCUUAAAGAUGAAAGGACUGCACCUUGAGAGGCCCUUCCUGUUGAGUUGUCAUCUGAACAAAUCAGAGUGGUGGUUGAGGACACCAGAUGUAUUAUUUCCUGCCACAGCAAAUUGGAGGGCUCGCACUGUUCCACCGCCAUCAACUUAGGAAGCAAUUGAAUUUGUUGAUUAUCUUUGCAAGAGGGAGAAGCUUAGCAUCAAUGAAGACAUUGGUAUUUGGUAGGUAUUCAUUUAAUCUC
rnacentral:lncRNA from 10 species